UGAGCGUAUGGCACCUCGGCAGUGCAGUCGCCUCCUGAUGGUUGUGUGUGAGAAAGCCAACCUUGGAGGGUUGAGAGUUAA